rnacentral:rRNA from 1 species
GACGAACGCUGGCGGCGUGCCUAAUACAUGCAAGUAGAACGCUGAAGGAGGAGCUUGCUUCUCUGGAUGAGUUGCGAACGGGUGAGUAACGCGUAGGUAACCUGCCUGGUAGCGGGGGAUAACUAUUGGAAACGAUAGCUAAUACCGCAUAAGAGUAGAUGUUGCAUGACAUUUGCUUAAAAGGUGCAAUUGCAUCACUACCAGAUGGACCUGCGUUGUAUUAGCUAGUUGGUGAGGUAACGGCUCACCAAGGCGACGAUACAUAGCCGGCCUGAGAGGGUGGUCGGCCAAACUGGGACUGAGACACGGCCCAGACUCCUACGGGAAGCAGCAGUAGGGAAUCUUCGGCAAUGGACGGAAGUCUGACCGAGCAACGCCGCGUGAGUGAAGAAGGUUUUCGGAUCGUAAAGCUCUGUUGUAAGGGAAGAACGAGUGUGAGAGUGGAAAGUUCACACUGUGACGGUAUCUGACCAGAAAGGGACGGCUAACUACGUG